AGCGAACAGAUGAGGAGCUUGCUCCUCUGACGUUAGCGGCGGACGGGUGAGUAACACGUGGAUAACCUACCUAUAAGACUGGGAUAACUUCGGGAAACCGGAGCUAAUACCGGAUAAUAUAUCGAACCGCAUGGUUCAAUAGUGAAAGACGGUUUUGCUGUCACUUAUAGAUGGAUCCGCGCCGCAUUAGCUAGUUGGUAAGGUAACGGCUUACCAAGGCAACGAUGCGUAGCCGACCUGAGAGGGUGAUCGGCCACACUGGAACUGAGACACGGUCCAGACUCCUACGGGAGGCAGCAGUAGGGAAUCUUCCGCAAUGGGCGAAAGCCUGACGGAGCAACGCCGCGUGAGUGAUGAAGGUCUUCGGAUCGUAAAACUCUGUUAUUAGGGAAGAACAAAUGUGUAAGUAACUAUGCACGUCUUGACGGUACCUAAUCAGAAAGCCACGGCUAACUACGUGCCAGCAGCCGCGGUAAUACGUAGGUGGCAAGCGUUAUCCGGAAUUAUUGGGCGUAAAGCGCGCGUAGGCGGUUUUUUAAGUCUGAUGUGAAAGCCCACGGCUCAACCGUGGAGGGUCAUUGGAAACUGGAAAACUUGAGUGCAGAAGAGGAAAGUGGAAUUCCAUGUGUAGCGGUGAAAUGCGCAGAGAUAUGGAGGAACACCAGUGGCGAAGGCGAC
rnacentral:rRNA from 1 species